ACUGUAGUUUACUGAGAUAGAUGUAAUCCUAAAUAUAACAUAUGCUACAUUUUGCCACUUUCUAAAAGGCAUUGUCUAGUCAUAAUGUUUAUUCUAAAUAAUUUUGAUGUUUCCAAUAUUUAUAACCCUCCAUAGCCGACUCUACG